rnacentral:rRNA from 1 species
CCCUUAGAUGUUCUGGGCCGCACGCGCGCUACACUGACGAUGGCAACGAGUUUUUCCUUCGCCGAAAGGUGUGGGUAAUCUUUUGAAACAUCGUCGUGCUGGGGAUAGGUCAUUGCAAUUUUUGAUCUUGAACGAGGAAUUCCUAGUAAGCGCGAGUCAUCAGCUCGCGUUGAUUACGUCCCUGCCCUUUGUACACACCGCCCGUCGCUACUACCGAUUGAAUGGUUUAGUGAGGACUCCUGAUUGGCGCCGCCGCCCCGGCAACGGAGCAGCGGACUGCCGAAAAGUUGUUCAAACUUGAUCAUUUAGAGGAAGUAAAAGUCGUAACA